rnacentral:rRNA from 1 species
CAAUAGCGUAUAUUAAAGUUGUUGCAGUUAAAAAGCUCGUAGUUGGAUUUGUGGUGUACUUUGGCGGCCCGUCACUAUGUGAUGGAGCUUGCUGAAGUCGCCAUCCUUGGGUGGAUCCUGUGUGGCAUUAAGUUGUCGUGCAGGGGAUGCCCAUCGUUUACUGUGAAAAAAUUAGAGUGUUCAAAGCAGGCUUAUGCCGUUGAAUAUAUUAGCAUGGAAUAAUAAGAUAGGACCUUGGUACUAUUUUGUUGGUUUGCGCACCAAGGUAAUGAUUAAUAGGGACAGUUGGGGGUAUUCGUAUUUCAUUGUCAGAGGUGAAAUUCUUGGAUUUCUAGAAGACGAACUACUGCGAAAGCAUUUACCAAGGAUGUUUNCAUUAA